UACGAAGGGGGCUAGCGUUGUUCGGAUUUACUGGGCGUAAAGCGCACGUAGGCGGAUCGAUCAGUCAGGGGUGAAAUCCCAGAGCUCAACUCUGGAACUGCCUUUGAUACUGUCGAUCUGGAGUAUGGAAGAGGUGAGUGGAAUUCCGAGUGUAGAGGUGAAAUUCGUAGAUAUUCGGAGGAACACCAGUGGCGAAGGCGGCUCACUGGUCCAUUACUGACGCUGGAGGAGCGAAAGUGUGGGGAGCGAACAGG
rnacentral:rRNA from 1 species